rnacentral:pre_miRNA from 1 species
UCCUCAUUUCACGUGCUCUCUCACCGGUCAGAGUGACGAGAGAGUGUGCGAAUGAAGAGA